UACGUAGGGGGCAAGCGUUGUCCGGAUUUAUUGGGCGUAAAGAGCGUGUAGGCGGCCAGACAGGUCAGCUGUGAAAACUCGAGGCUCAACCUCGAGACGUCGGUUGAAACCGUCUGGCUAGAGUCCGGAAGAGGAGAGUGGAAUUCCCGGUGUAGCGGUGAAAUGCGCAGAUAUCGGGAAGAACACCCGUGGCGAAGGCGGCUCUCUGGGACGGUACUGACGCUGGGACGCGAAAGCGUGGGGAGCGAACAGG
rnacentral:rRNA from 1 species